rnacentral:rRNA from 1 species
AUUGAACGCUGGCGGCAUGCUUUACACAUGCAAGUCGAACGGCAGCGCGGGCUUCGGCCUGGCGGCGAGUGGCGAACGGGUGAGUAAUACAUCGGAACGUGUCCAGUAGUGGGGGAUAGCUCGGCGAAAGCCGGAUUAAUACCGCAUACGACCUGAGGGUGAAAGCGGGGGAUCUUCGGACCUCGCGCUAUUGGAUCGGCCGAUGGCGGAUUAGCUAGUUGGUGGGGUAAAGGCCUACCAAGGCGACGAUCUGUAGCUGGUCUGAGAGGACGACCAGCCACACUGGGACUGAGACACGGCCCAGACUCCUACGGGAGGCAGCAGUGGGGAAUUUUGGACAAUGGGCGAAAGCCUGAUCCAGCAAUGCCGCGUGUGUGAUGAAGGCCUUCGGGUUGUAAAGCACUUUUGGCGGGAACGAAAAGGACUGUGCCAAUACCACGGUUCGAUGACGGUACCCGCAGAAUAAGCACCGGCUAACUACGUG